rnacentral:lncRNA from 1 species
CUACUUUAGAGUCAAGGUUUUAUGGAAUUAACUCUUUGUGAGGUACUCAAAGGCCUGUAUUUGAGAUAAAGCUUCCGAAGUUCAUACCGAAGGUGAUUCCUAAUGUGUUAAGAUGUCCAUUCAUCACUUGAACCAGGUUUAUGCAUUUGCACGUGGAAUUUAGAGAAAUACAACAUUACUAUUUUGACUUUUUUGGAAAUACUUUUGAAUAAGUGAGCACUCUACAAUAUUUUAUGAAACUGAAAAAUGCCAUUUAUUUAUGAAAUGAUUUUCUGUAAGCAGUAACAGAUAACAGGUCCCCACCCCCUUUUUCUUUUUACUGUAGGCAUGAAGCAAGAAGAAAGUGUAACAAGGACUGAGGGAGAGAGCAGCAGAAGAUGAGAUCAUUUUGGAGAAUGUUCCAGACUCACAUUUGGAUUGGUGUUCCAAGAAUUCUCCAAAGGCUGUCCACAUGCAUUUUGAAGAGCUCUUUCAGCAUCAAAUGGCUCUCACAAAAAAAGGCUUUUUAUCAACUGAAUGAGAAAGGGGAACAUGAUUCAAAGGAGAAAAAAAAAUCCUGCUGUAGGCUUUUUCUGAGGUAAACCACGGAGAGAGCUCUAGGUUAGAAAAUUGCUUUCAC